CCUAGUAAAGUUGUGGCCCAUCAUCUUGCCUGCCGCCCAGACGGCCCGGCCAGGCUUCUCCGGCGCCGACGCCGGAACCCCCCUGGAGGCUACGAACAUCGCCAUUGAUACCAUGGCUUCAAUCCUCGAGGCGUCGACACAGGACGCGUUGCUGUUGCGACUUGCGAGUUGGAGUUGGAAAUUUGUGAUCCCCUUCCCUCCCUCCGGCUGAGUAGCAUCUGAGCAUCUCUCCUCUCUCCGGUCUGCGUCUGUGCACCAUCAUCAACAUGGUUACGUCAAGAUGAAACAUUGGUUGCGUC